GCAAUCUGUUCCAGUGCCUCACCACUCUUAACAGGAAAGAAUUUCUUCCUAAUAUCUAAUCUAAAUCUACCCUCUUUUAGCUUAAACCCAUUUCCCCUUGUCCUGUCACUACACUCCCUGAUAAACAGUCCCUCCCCCUCUUUCCCGUAGGCCCUCUUUAGGUACUGGAAGGCUGCAAUUAGGUCUCCCGGGAGCCUUCUCUUCUCCAGGCUGAACGAUCCCAACUCUCUCAGCCUGUCCUCAUAGGAGAGCUGAAUGUCAACUGCCACCAUUUCACCGUGGCAGCCCUUUCUUCUGCCAAGAAAGUACAAGUCAGAUGGAAAGGAUCCAUAAUGGUCUGCAAGUACAGGGCUUUCCCAAGAAGCAUUAGCACCCUUGUAACUAGUGACAGCGAGUCCUGAUGUGUUUUUUGAUGUCUUCUUGUAAGCAUCUCGUGAUGCUCAGUAGAUAUUCCCCAGGGCGGGUUUGCCUGCCAGUCGUUAGGCAUACUGGCAAGUAAGGUGCCGGCCCCAUGCCCAGAGGCUCCGGGCUCUGUCUGCAGCGGCGCCCCGCCGUGUGGCAGCGAGGGCUGUCUGCUCGGGAGAGUCCGGCGCCCCCCGCAGUACCCACGUUUGGGGGCGGCAGCAAAACAGCGUCCCGAUCGUCAGUUCUACGAGAAACGCCUUAAAAAGGUUCGGUUUGUGAAACGCCGGGAUUUUUCCACCUGUGAUCGCUGCCUGAAGGCUGUUAAAGAGUAAUACAUUGAUCGUCUCUCUCUCUCUGUGUCAUUUACUUUGCUCACUACAGUUGUUAUUCGUGAAAGCACCCAGCCUUUUAUAGAGGGCAAACACGGACUUUUUAAAAGCUUUUAGCGACUCCACAGAAUUGCCUUUGCUUUUGAUAGCUUGCCAGA